UACAGAGGGUGCGAGCGUUAAUCGGAAUUACUGGGCGUAAAGCGUGCGUAGACGGUUGCGUAAGUCGGAUGUGAAAGCCCCGGGCUCAACCUGGGAAUUGCAUUCGAGACUGCAUAGCUAGGGUGCGGAAGAGGGAAGCGGAAUUUCGGGUGUAGCGGUGAAAUGCGUAGAUAUCCGAAGGAACAUCAGUGGCGAAAGCGGCUUCCUGGUCCAGCACCGACGUUCAGGCACGAAAGCGUGGGGAGCAAACAGG
rnacentral:rRNA from 1 species